ACAAAGAACGAAAAACCUACGAAUGCUCUUGGCCUCAUUAACAAGGAACAUAAGCAGUUCCAGAUGAGGAACCCAUAACAAACUUCAAAUAACGAAACUGUAGGGAGCAAGGGAGUCCGUGAGAGUAUUUUAAGAAACUGGGACCCAGGAAGACUAAGUUAACGGAUGGGAUAUCAUGCUGUCUAUAUUUCUUUACACACUGCUAUGCUUUAUUAAUUAGGUUACAUUAUAAUGUUAAAUAACUAGAAGCGCUGGGCAUUUAAAGUUCUUCCAGACCGCCCUAACCACUCAAAUUAUCCUAAUUAGCAAUUUUUUUUAAGUUAAAGACUAUUUCAAUCGCAAUGGGUCGGUUUCUAUUUCAAAGAUGUAAAGGAGUCAACAUUCUGGCACUUCCUCUUGGCCGGCAGGACGAGGUUGACAAAGUCGGCCAGACAAGCCUGUUUCCUGGAAGUCUUUAGCAAUCACAUUUGCUAUUGGAGGAGCUUUACUGGCUGGAAUGAAGCACGUCAAGAAAGAAAAGGCAGAGAAGUUAGAGAAGGAACGGCAGCGACACAUCGGCAAGCCU
rnacentral:lncRNA from 1 species